UUGAUUCCAGCAUUUUUUGUCAUUGAGUUGAGUUACAAAUUGUUUUGGAUAGCAUCACAUCAGUACAGAUUAGAGAUGGCAAUGGUGAAUUCACCGUCGGGGGUCACCGCUGCGUCCCCAUCACCGCGGUGAAAAAAUUUCACCGUCCCCGCCCCCGUCAACCACGACGGGGGUACAUUUUCUCCAGCCCCGAUCACCACGCGCUUACCGGGGGGCGGAGGCCGAAGCCAUGGUCGGCCGUCGGCGGAUGGCGUGCUGGCGGUGGACGACGUGCGGGCGAGUGACGACGGAAGGCGCUGGCGGACGUCGAUGGCGAUGGCGGCUCCCGGUGACUACGGCUGCAGGCGCCGUGCCUGACUGCGCGUGGACGGAGGCUCCCGGCGGCUGCCGGCGGCGCGUGGACGGAGGCUCCCGGCGGUGCAUCGACGGGUGCCCGCGCCACGCGAGAGAAGGCAGCGAGCGGCGGUGCGCCUGGCUCUCGGCGGAUUGACGGUGCAUGGUGGCACGCCUGACUCCCGAGCUUCCCGGCGGACUAGCGGACGGCGGUGGUGGGCUGGUGGCUGCGUGCGGAUCUGGAGGAUUUGGUAUUUUGGGUGGAGAAUUUGAAGUUGACUGGUUGACUUAGGGUUAGAAGUUAUAUAUGCCUGUUAAAUGGGCUUUAGUAUUAUGGGCCAAAACAUGUAAAAAGUCUAGAAUUAGUCCUCUAUACAGUAAAGUCGGGUCACCGCGGGGGGCGGGGACGGGGAAUGGUUCACCGUCCCCGCCCCCGUCAUCCCUGAUGGUGAGAGUAUUGUAACCAUUUUAUUCCCUAUGGUGAAUACAUAUUAAACAUCCCCGUCACCUAAUAGGUAAAUUCACCGCGGAGAAACGGUGAACGAGGCCCCAUUGCCAUCUCUAGUACAGAUGUUUAUUGAUGUGUCCUAUUUCCCCUUUUGAAAUAUAAUUUCGAUAUCCUUUUGUCA